rnacentral:rRNA from 1 species
UACAGAGGGUGCGAGCGUUGUCCGGAAUCACUGGGCGUAAAGGGCGCGUAGGCGGUCUGCUAAGCGUGCGGUGAAAGCCCGGGGCUCAACCCCGGGUCGGCCGUGCGAACUGGUGGACUGGAGCGUGUCAGAGGCAGGCGGAAUUCCGGGUGUAGCGGUGGAAUGCGUAGAGAUCCGGAAGAACACCGGUGGCGAAGGCGGCCUGCUGGGACAGUGCUGACGCUGAAGCGCGACAGCGUGGGGAGCAAACAGG